CCUACGGGAGGCAGCAGUGGGGAAUAUUGCACAAUGGGCGCAAGCCUGAUGCAGCGACGCCGCGUGAGGGAUGACGGCCUUCGGGUUGUAAACCUCUUCCAGUAGGGAAGAAGCGAAAGUGACGGUACCUGCAGAAGAAGCGCCGGCUAACUACGUGCCAGCAGCCGCGGUAAUACGUAGGGCGCAAGCGUUAUCCGGAAUUAUUGGGCGUAAAGAGCUCGUAGGCGGUUUGUCGCGUCUGCUGUGAAAGACCGGGGCUCAACUCCGGUUCUGCAGUGGGUACGGGCAGACUAGAGUGCAGUAGGGGAGACUGGAAUUCCUGGUGUAGCGGUGAAAUGCGCAGAUAUCAGGAGGAACACCGAUGGCGAAGGCAGGUCUCUGGGCUGUAACUGACGCUGAGGAGCGAAAGCAUGGGGAGCGAACAGGAUUAGAUACCCUGGUAGUCCAUGCCGUAAACGUUGGGCACUAGGUGUGGGGGACGAUUCCACGUUUUCCGCGCCGUAGCUAACGCAUUAAGUGCCCCGCCUGGGGGAGGACGGCCGCGAAGGACGUAAACGUUAAAGUUAAAGUUAGUUACGGCGUGAGACGNGCCGACGGACGACGACGAGGGAGGAGG
rnacentral:rRNA from 1 species